rnacentral:rRNA from 1 species
UGCGUAGGCGGGUUUCUAAGUCAGAGGUGAAAGCCUGGAGCUCAACUCCAGAACUGCCUUUGAUACUGGAAGUCUUGAGUAUGGCAGAGGUGAGUGGAACUGCGAGUGUAGAGGUGAAAUUCGUAGAUAUUCGCAAGAACACCAGUGGCGAAGGCGGCUCACUGGGCCAUUACUGACGCUGAGGCAAGCUGGGGAGCGAAACA